rnacentral:rRNA from 1 species
GGAUUAGGCAUGCAAGUCGAACGAGAAAGGUUCCUUCGGGGACCGAGUACAGUGGCGUAAGGGUGAGUAAUGCAUAGAUAACCUGCCCUCGAGAUGGGAAUAACCUCGGGAAACUGGGGCUAAUACCCAAUAAGACCACGUGUCGCAGGGCACGUAGUCAAAGAUAGCUUCGGCCUUCGCUCGAGGAGGGGUCUGUGUCCUAUUAGCUUGUUGGUGGGGUAACGGCCCACCAAGGCUUCGAUGGGUAGCCGACCUGAGAGGGUGGCCGGCCACACUGGGACUGAGACACUGCCCAGACUCCUACGGGAGGCUGCAGUCGAGAAUCUUCCGCAAUGCGCGAAAGCGUGACGGAGCGACGCCGCGUGGAGGAUGAAGGCUUUCGGGUUGUAAACUCCUGUCACCUGGGAAGAAAAGCAGGCAGUUAAUAGCUGUCCUGCUUGACGUUACCAGGAGAGGAAGCACCGGCUAAAUACGUGCCAGCAGCCGCGGUAAUACGUAUGGUGCAAACGUUGUUCGGAAUCACUGGGCUUAAAGAGCACGUAGGCGGUUGAGAAAGUCUGAUGUGAAAUACCUCAGCUCAACUGAGGAACUGCAUUAGAAACUACUCGGCUAGAGUGCAGGAGGGGGAGAGUGGAAUUCCUGGUGGAGCGGUGAAAUGCGUAGAUAUCAGGAGGAACGCCGGUGGCGAAAGCGACUCUCUGGCCUGCUACUGACGCUGAGGUGCGAAAGCUAGGGGAGCGAACGGGAUUAGAUACCCCGGUAGUCCUAGCCCUAAACGAUGGGCACUAAGUAGAGGGGUUUU